rnacentral:misc_RNA from 1 species
UUGUGGAGGAGGACGCCGAAGGUGGGGCUAAUGACUGGGGUGAAGUCGUAACAAGGUAGCCGUACCGGAAGGUGCGGCUGGAUCACCUCCUAACAGGGAGACAACAAAAUGUUAAAUAUUAAUUUUGUCACCUUAGGUCGAUCGGUAUCUCACAUUCUUAAUUUAUUAAGAAUUUUAUUUCCUAAGUUUUUCUAGGUCACACCCAUUACUUUUCCUGGGCCAUUAGCUCAGGUGGUUAGAGCGCACCCCUGAUAAGGGUGAGGUCCCUGGUUCAAGUCCAGGAUGGCCCAUAUCUCUAUGUUGGGGGUAUAGCUCAGUUGGUAGAGCGCCUGCUUUGCAAGCAGGAUGUCAGCGGUUCGAGUCCGCUUACCUCCACUGAUCACCGCCUCUUCCAUAAUUUAUAGAAGGGAAUUGUUUUGAGUUGUGAUCAAAUCCUGAACGAAUCUAGCUUCCUAAUCAAACUUAUUAAGAUGCUGGAUUCAUUGAAUUAAAUUCAUUGUUUUCAGAGAACCUUGACAACUGCAUAGAUUAUUUUUAAAGACAAUAAGCAUCUUUAAUGAUGCAGAUUUAUUAUUUGUGCGAAUGCAUUAAUAACAAUUCUAUUAAGCUGAUGCUUCAAUUUGAAGUUAUUGGUCAAGCUACAA